rnacentral:lncRNA from 1 species
GGGGGUCUGGGGAGAAUUUUGGGAAUUUUGGAAGAAUUUUGGGAUUUUUGGGGGAAUUUUUGGGGUGCGGGGGGGAAUUUUGGGAUUUUUAGGGGAAUUCUGGGGAUAUGGGUUGAAUUUUGGGGGUUUGCGGAGAAUUUGGGGGGAAUUUUGGGAUUGUUUGGGGGAAAUUUGGGGGUUUAUGUGGGAAUUUUGGGGAUUCCUGUGGGAAUUUUGGGGAGAAUUUUGGAGAUUUGGGGAGAAUUUUGGGGUUUUUUGGGUUUUUUUUGGUUUUUUUUUGGUUUUUUUUUGUUUUUUUUUUUUGGAAUUUUGGAUUUUUGUAGGAAUUUUCUGAUCCCUGUGGGAAUUUUGGGGAGAAUUUUGGAGAUUUGGGGAGAAUUUUGGGUUUUUUUGUUUUUUUUUUUUUGGUUUUUUUUGGUUUUUUUUUUUGAAUUUUGGAUUUUUGUGGGAAUUUUCGGAUCCCUGUGGGAAUUUUGGGGAGAAUUUUGGGGAUCCCUGUGGGAACUUCGGGAUUGUUUUGGGGAAGUUUGGAUUUUUUGUGGGAAUUUUGGGAUCCCUGUGGGAAUUUUGGGGAUUUGGAGCGAAUUUUGGGGGAAUUUGGGGAUUUUUGGGGGAAUUUUGGGCAGAAUUUUGUGGAUUUGGGGAGAAUUUUGGGAUUUUUGUGGGAAUUUUGUGGAUUUGGGGAGAAUUUUAGUAUUUUUGUGGGUAUUUUGGGGAUUUAAGGAGAAUUUUGGGAGUUUUGAGGGGAAUUUGGGGAUUUUUGUGGGAAUUUUGGGAUUUUUGUGGGAUUUUUGGGGAUUUGGGGAGGAUUUUGGUGAUCCCUGUGGGAAUUUGGGGAUUUUUGGGGGGAAUUUGGGGAUUUUUGUGGGGAUUUGGGGAUUUUUGAUAUUUUUGGGGGAAUUUUGGUAUUUUUAUGGGAAUUUUGGGGGGAAUUUUGGGGUUCCUGUGAUCUCCCCUCACGCCGCCAUUUUCUCCCUCCUUUCCUCAGCUUUGGGCCCAUCCUGGAAUUCUUCGCUUCUCCACCACCCAAAAAAUCACAAAAAAUCCCCAAAAUCUCCCAAAAAAAUCACAAAAAAAAAAAAAAAUCGAAAAAAAUCACAAAAAACUCCCAAAGAUUCCCAAAAUCCCCAAAAAACCCCAAGAAUCCCAAAAUUCCCUAAAAAAUCCUCACACAUCUGCAAAAAAACCAUAAAACCCCCCAAAAUCUCCACAAAAACUGAAAAAAAUCCCGGAAAGUCCAAAACCUGCGAAAAUCGCCAAAAAAUCACUUAA